AGCGUCCCAUCUGCACUGUGUCCAGCCCAGAGGCACGAGAGCCCCAAAGGAGUUCAUCUAGCCACCAGCGGCGUCCCCCCAGGAAUUCUUCCAUGGGAGUCUGCUGAUUCGGAGGCCAGCAACUCUGCUCACAUGUGUAAACGAGAAUUGUUCCAAAUUCCACAGCAAGACCUGAAAAAUACCACAUGCUCUAGAUCCCACCAAGGAGGCAGUUAAAAGGCACUGGGAGCGGAACACCUUCCAGCUUAGGGGCGAGACAGAUGUCGUGAGGGCUCCACCCCUGACGUCCCGCCCAACCCGCCCUCUCCCGGACAAG